rnacentral:rRNA from 1 species
UACGUAGGGGGCAAGCGUUGUCCGGAUUUACUGGGCGUAAAGGGCGCGUAGGCGGCCAACUAAGUCGGACGUGAAAUCCCCAGGCUCAACCUGGGAACUGCGUCCGAUACUGGAUGGCUCGAAUCCGGGAGAGGGAUGUGGAAUUCCAGGUGUAGCGGUGAAAUGCGUAGAUAUCAGGAAGAACACCCGUGGCGAAGGCGGCUCUCUGGGACGGUACUGACGCUGAGACGCGAAAGCGUGGGGAGCGAACAGG